GGUUAAGCGACUAAGCGUACACGGUGGAUGCCCUGGCAGUCAGAGGCGAUGAAGGACGUGCUAAUCUGCGAAAAGCGUCGGUAAGGUGAUAUGAACCGUUAUAACCGGCGAUGUCCGAAUGGGGAAACCCAGUGUGAUUCGUCACACUAUCGUUAACUGAAUACAUAGGUUAACGAGGCGAACCGGGGGAACUGAAACAUCUAAGUACCCCGAGGAAAAGAAAUCAACCGAGAUUCCCCCAGUAGCGGCGAGCGAACGGGGAGCAGCCCAGAGUCUGAAUCAGCUUGUGUGUUAGUGGAACGGUCUGGAAAGUCCGACGGUACAGGGUGAUAGUCCCGUACACCAAAAUGCACAGGUUGUGAACUCGAAGAGUAGGGCGGGACACGUGGUAUCCUGUCUGAAUAUGGGGGGACCAUCCUCCAAGGCUAAAUACUCCUGACUGACCGAUAGUGAACCAGUACCGUGAGGGAAAGGCGAAAAGAACCCCGGCGAGGGGAGUGAAAAAGAACCUGAAACCGUGUACGUACAAGCAGUGGGAGCACCUUCGGGUGUGACUGCGUACCUUUUGUAUAAUGGGUCAGCGACUUAUAUUCUGUAGCAAGGUUAACCGUAUAGGGGAGCCGCAGGGAAACCGAGUCUUAACUGGGCGUUAAGUUGCAGGGUAUAGACCCGAAACCCGGUGAUCUAGCCAUGGGCAGGUUGAAGGUUGGGUAACACUAACUGGAGGACCGAACCGACUAAUGUUGAAAAAUUAGCGGAUGACUUGUGGCUGGGGGUGAAAGGCCAAUCAAACCGGGAGAUAGCUGGUUCUCCCCGAAAGCUAUUUAGGUAGCGCCUCGUGAACUCAUCUUCGGGGGUAGAGCACUGUUUCGGCUAGGGGGUCAUCCCGACUUACCAACCCGAUGCAAACUACGAAUACCGAAGAAUGUUAUCACGGGAGACACACGGCGGGUGCUAACGUCCGUCGUGAAGAGGGAAACAACCCAGACCGCCAGCUAAGGUCCCAAAGUCAUGGUUAAGUGGGAAACGAUGUGGGAAGGCACAGACAGCCAGGAUGUUGGCUUAGAAGCAGCCAUCAUUUAAAGAAAGCGUAAUAGCUCACUGGUCGAGUCGGCCUGCGCGGAAGAUGUAACGGGGCUAAACCAUGCACCGAAGCUGCGGCAGCGACACUAUGUGUUGUUGGGUAGGGGAGCGUUCUGUAAGCCUGCGAAGGUGUGCUGUGAGGCAUGCUGGAGGUAUCAGAAGUGCGAAUGCUGACAUAAGUAACGAUAAAGCGGGUGAAAAGCCCGCUCGCCGGAAGACCAAGGGUUCCUGUCCAACGUUAAUCGGGGCAGGGUGAGUCGACCCCUAAGGCGAGGCCGAAAGGCGUAGUCGAUGGGAAACAGGUUAAUAUUCCUGUACUUGGUGUUACUGCGAAGGGGGGACGGAGAAGGCUAUGUUAGCCGGGCGACGGUUGUCCCGGUUUAAGCAUGUAGGCUGAUUGUCCAGGCAAAUCCGGAUAAUCAAGGCUGAGGUGUGAUGACGAGGCACUACGGUGCUGAAGUAACAAAUGCCCUGCUUCCAGGAAAAGCCUCUAAGCAUCAGGUAACAUCAAAUCGUACCCCAAACCGACACAGGUGGUCAGGUAGAGAAUACCAAGGCGCUUGAGAGAACUCGGGUGAAGGAACUAGGCAAAAUGGUGCCGUAACUUCGGGAGAAGGCACGCUGGUGUGUAGGUGAAGUCCCUGCGGAUGGAGCUGAGACCAGUCGAAGAUACCAGCUGGCUGCAACUGUUUAUUAAAAACACAGCACUGUGCAAACACGAAAGUGGACGUAUACGGUGUGACGCCUGCCCGGUGCCGGAAGGUUAAUUGAUGGGGUUAUCCGUAAGGAGAAGCUCUUGAUCGAAGCCCCGGUAAACGGCGGCCGUAACUAUAACGGUCCUAAGGUAGCGAAAUUCCUUGUCGGGUAAGUUCCGACCUGCACGAAUGGCGUAAUGAUGGCCAGGCUGUCUCCACCCGAGACUCAGUGAAAUUGAACUCGCUGUGAAGAUGCAGUGUACCCGCGGCAAGACGGAAAGACCCCGUGAACCUUUACUAUAGCUUGACACUGAACAUUGAGCCUUGAUGUGUAGGAUAGGUGGGAGGCUUUGAAGCGUGGACGCCAGUCUGCGUGGAGCCAACCUUGAAAUACCACCCUUUAAUGUUUGAUGUUCUAACGUUGGCCCCUUACCGGGGUUGCGGACAGUGUCUGGUGGGUAGUUUGACUGGGGCGGUCUCCUCCCAAAGCGUAACGGAGGAGCACGAAGGUUAGCUAAUCCUGGUCGGACAUCAGGAGGUUAGUGCAAUGGCAUAAGCUAGCUUGACUGCGAGCGUGACGGCGCGAGCAGGUGCGAAAGCAGGUCAUAGUGAUCCGGUGGUUCUGAAUGGAAGGGCCAUCGCUCAACGGAUAAAAGGUACUCCGGGGAUAACAGGCUGAUACCGCCCAAGAGUUCAUAUCGACGGCGGUGUUUGGCACCUCGAUGUCGGCUCAUCACAUCCUGGGGCUGAAGUAGGUCCCAAGGGUAUGGCUGUUCGCCAUUUAAAGUGGUACGCGAGCUGGGUUUAGAACGUCGUGAGACAGUUCGGUCCCUAUCUGCCGUGGGCGCUGGAGAAUUGAGGGGGGCUGCUCCUAGUACGAGAGGACCGGAGUGGACGCAUCACUGGUGUUCGGGUUGUCAUGCCAAUGGCACUGCCCGGUAGCUAAAUGCGGAAGAGAUAAGUGCUGAAAGCAUCUAAGCACGAAACUUGCCCCGAGAUGAGUUCUCCCUGAGACUUUAAGUCUCCUGAAGGAACGUUAAAGACGAUGACGUUGAUAGGCCGGGUGUGUAAGCGCAGCGAUGCGUUGAGCUAACCGGUACUAAUGAACCGUGAGGCUUAACCUU
rnacentral:rRNA from 1 species